GCUGCCAGGAGAAGGACCCGCCUCUUCUUUCGGCAGGUGCAGCAUGUCCGGCGUCUUCCAGGGGACCCUGAAGGACUCCCGGGAGGUCAGGGAAGCCAGGCUCAAGCUGGAGGUCAGUCCCAGCCCUGGGGAGGAGGGAGGCCGGGUGGGAUGGCGGAGGGAGCGUAGCCCAGCAGGAGCCGCCUGGGGGCUCUGCUGCACUCGGAGGCCUGAACUGGGGCUUCUCUGCAGGGCAUGGCCCAGCUGGCGGAGAGGAACCGGGACCUGCAGCUGCUGCAGGAGGGGAAGAUCAGCCCGGCCAAGAAGCGGCCCCUCUCCAAGGAGAUGCGGGAGGAGGCCUUCAGGCGCUACCUGCGCUGCUUCUACAAGGAGCAGCUCAGCCUGCAGAUUCCUGAAGAGGAUCCCUUCGACGCCGAUGAGGUGCUGGAAUGCCUGGGCCAGAUGGAGCCGCUCUCUGCCCUCUGGGGACCCUCCAUUUCCCACAUGUUCCUGAGCGGCUUUGCUAAGCCCAGGAGCCUCAAAAUGAGCAGCUCUCUCUUUGUGGUAAUGGGCCUUCCCCCUCUCUCGGGGGGUCCCAGGCUGUCUGGGGUGUG
rnacentral:lncRNA from 1 species